ensembl:lncRNA
CGUCACUCUCAGGAAGCUCCACUCCAAUGAGAAGAGAUGGACAGUAUAGACACAAAUAGAUACAACCUGUAUGAUAGGGAAGUCACCAGCACAGACUUGGAGUAGCUCUUCAUACUACAUCCGUGUGGAGUAGCUCUUCAUACUACAUCCGUGUGAAGAAGAAGAAGGCACAAAGUUCAUCUUCCAAAGUCAAACAGAAAGCAAUGAGGCAAGCAGUAUGAGAGCUGUCUGUGACCGCAUCAUGUGGGAAGUAUAUGCUACAUGCUAGUGGCCAGACUGUGUCUUGGAAGUCAAAAUUACAACUGCAGACCAGG